rnacentral:rRNA from 1 species
CAGCAGCCACGGUAAUACGUAGGUCCCGAGCGUUGUCCGGAUUUAUUGGGCGUAAAGGGAGCGCAGGCGGUUUAGUAAGUCUGAAGUUAAAGGCAUUGGCUCAACCAAUGUAUGCUUUGGAAACUGUUAGACUUGAGUGCAGAAGGGGAGAGUGGAAUUCCAUGUGUAGCGGUGAAAUGCGUAGAUAUAUGGAGGAACACCGGUGGCGAAAGCGGCUCUCUGGUCUGUCACUGACGCUGAGGCUCGAAAGCGUGGGUAGCGAACAGGAUUAGAUACCCCGGUAGUCCCUGUCUCUUAUACA